AGCUCCAAUAGCGUAUAUUAAAGUUAUUGCGGUUAAAAAGCUUGUAGUUGGAUCUCAGUUCCGGACCGACGAUACGCCGCCCGGCGUCUACUGUCGGCUUCUGAACGCUAAAGCACGUCGGCUUGGUCGGGGUGAUCUUCAUCGAGUGUCCCGGGCGGCCGGCAUGUUUACUUUGAAAAAAUUAGAGUGCUCAGAGCAGGCCAAGGCGCCUGAAUACUUGUGCAUGGAAUAAUGGAAUAGGACCUCGGUUCUAUUUUGUUGGUUUUAAGAGCCCAAGGUAUUGAUUAAUAGGAACAGACGGGGGCAUUUGUAUUGCGACGUUAGAGGUGAAAUUCUUGGAUCGUCGCAAGACGACCUACUGCGAAAGCAUUUGCCAAGAAUGUUUUCA
rnacentral:rRNA from 1 species